GUUGUACAUUUUUCUGAACCUGAAAAAAAUUAAAAUACUGUAUUAUUAACUAUUUAUCAUUUCUAAGUAGAAUACUAAUUUUCAAACGGACAAUUUUAUUAUACUUCAUCAGAUAAGAUGUCGAGCAUUUUCGAAAGGCACGUGGGCGAGAAUAUUUAAAUCACAAAUAUUUUUUAGUUCAACUUUUAGGUUUCACGCGAAAGACAGCUUGCGUGUCGUCGAAAAACUGGUACAAAAGGGUCGGCAUAGUGGUAUAUAUUUAUGUUUGCGGUUGAUGAUCUAUGACUGUGAUCGCUAGUUCGUGGAGGAGAAAAAGCGUGAAAGCACAUUUUAAGAACAAUUUCGCUGUACGAUUCGAUACGAAUCUUGUUUCUAGACCUGCCCCAGGGCAUGGGAAUCGAUAUUGUUAUUUCCUCACGAAAGCUUCAAUACACUACUUCUUCAAGAUUUUAUAUUGUAGCCCUUGCUAUAUAUGGUUUCAGGUCAAAACUAUAUUAAUUUUCACUUCUAAAUUUAACUUUAUAGUUUUUAAAAUGUAAAAUAAAUAUUUCUACAGAAAAUAAAUCGUAUGAGCAAAUAAAAAAUCCCUCCUUUAAUUUUCGUAGUACUAAUACCACUUUUAAUAUAUUUUAAA